rnacentral:lncRNA from 1 species
AGUUAGCUUGACGAACAGUAAAAGUUCAUUUGGGCCUAGUUGGUACAUAAUUCUGAACUUAAACUUACAGCGCGAACACC